rnacentral:rRNA from 1 species
AGAGCGAACGCUGGCGGCAUGCUUAACACAUGCAAGUCGCACGGUCAGGUUUCGGCCUGGUAGUGGCGGACGGGUGAGUAACGCGUAGGUAUCUAUCCGAAGGUGGGGGAUAACGGCGGGAAACUGCUGCUAAUACCGCAUAUGACCUGAGGGUCAAAGGUCGCAAGACCGCCUGUGGAGGAGCCUGCGUACGAUUAGCUUGUUGGUGGGGUAAAGGCCUACCAAGGCGACGAUCGUUAGCUGGUCUGAGAGGAUGAUCAGCCACAUUGGGACUGAGACACGGCCCAAACUCCUACGGGAGGCAGCAGUGGGGAAUAUUGGACAAUGGGGGCAACCCUGAUCCAGCAAUGCCGCGUGUGUGAAGAAGGUCUUCGGAUUGUAAAGCACUUUCGACGGGGACGAUGAUGACGGUACCCGUAUAAGAAGCCCGGCUAACUUCGCGCCAGCAGCCGC